rnacentral:tRNA from 1 species
AGGCCUAUAAUUUAACGGUAGAAUGAUUUCUUGAUGAGGAAUAUGCAGGAGUUCGAUUCUCUUUGGGCCUA